UACGUAGGGUGCGAGCGUUAAUCGGAAUUACUGGGCGUAAAGCGUGCGCAGGCGGUUCGUUGUGUCGGCGGUGAAAGCCCCGGGCUUAACCUGGGAAUGGCCGUUGAAACUGGCGAACUGGAGUGUGGCAGAGGGGGGUGGAAUUCCGCGUGUAGCAGUGAAAUGCGUAGAGAUGCAGAGGAACACCGAUGGCGAAGGCAGCCCCCUGGGCUGACACUGACGCUCAGGCACGAAAGCGUGGGGAGCAAACAGG
rnacentral:rRNA from 1 species